rnacentral:rRNA from 1 species
GAUGAACGCUAGCGGCAGGCCUAACACAUGCAAGUCGAGGGAGGAGCUUUCGGGCUUCGACCGGCGUACGGGUGCGUAACGCGUAUACAAACUGCCUUUCACAUAGGGAUAGCCCGAAGAAAUUUGGCGUAAUACCUAAUGGUAUAUAGGAGUGGCAUCCCAUUUAUAUUAAAGCUGAGGCGGUGAAAGAUGAGUAUGCGUUCUAUUAGCUAGUUGGAGAGGUAACGGCUCCCCAAGGCGACGAUAGAUAGGGGUUCUGAGAGGGAUAUCCCCCACACUGGUACUGCGAUACGGACCAGACUCCUACGGGAGGCAGCAGUGAGGAAUAUUGGACAAUGGUCGGAAGACUGAUCCAGCCAUGCCGCGUGCAGGAAGACGGCCUUAUGGGUUGUAAUCUGCUUUUGCAGAGGAAGAAUAAGGACUACGAGUAGUUUGAUGACGGUACUCUGCGAAUAAGCAUCGGCUAACUCCGUG